rnacentral:rRNA from 1 species
AGCAGUGGGGAAUUUUGGACAAUGGGCGCAAGCCUGAUCCAGCAAUGCCGCGUGAGUGAAGAAGGCCUUCGGGUUGUAAAGCUCUUUUGUCAGGGAAGAAACGGUGAGGGCUAAUAUCCUUUGCUAAUGACGGUACCUGAAGAAUAAGCACCGGCUAACUACGUGCCAGCAGCCGCGGUAAUACGUAGGGUGCAAGCGUUAAUCGGAAUUACUGGGCGUAAAGCGUGCGCAGGCGGUUUUGUAAGUUUGUCGUGAAAGCCCCGGGCUCAACCUGGGAAUUGCGAUGAAGACUGCAAGGCUUGAAUCCGGCAGAGGGGGGUAGAAUUCCACGUGUAGCAGUGAAAUGCGUAGAGAUGUGGAGGAACACCGAUGGCGAAGCAGCCCCCUGGGUCAAGAUUGACACUCAUG